rnacentral:rRNA from 1 species
AACGCUGGCGGCGUGCCUAACACAUGCAAGUCGAACGAGAAAGUGGAGCAAUCCAUGAGUAAAGUGGCGCACGGGUGAGUAACACGUGACUAACCUACCCUUGAGUGGGGGAUAACUGAGGGAAACCUUAGCUAAUACCGCAUAAUACCUACGGGUCAAAGGAGCAAUUCGCUUAAGGAGGGGGUCGCGGCCGAUUAGUUAGUUGGCGGGGUAAUGGCCCACCAAGACGAUGAUCGGUAUCCGGCCUGAGAGGGCGCACGGACACACUGGAACUGAAACACGGUCCAGACUCCUACGGGAGGCAGCAGUGGGGAAUUUUGCGCAAUGGGGGAAACCCUGACGCAGCAACGCCGCGUGGAGGAUGAAGUCCUUCGGGACGUAAACUCCUUUCGAUCGGGACGAUUAUGACGGUACCGGAAGAAGAAGC